rnacentral:rRNA from 1 species
GUGGUAAUGCCGGAUGCUCCAGUUGACCGCAUGGUCCUCUGGGAAAGCUUUUGCGGUAUGGGAUGGGGUCGCGUCCUAUCAGCUUGAUGGCGGGGUAACGGCCCACCAUGGCUUCGACGGGUAGCCGGCCUGAGAGGGCGACCGGCCACAUUGGGACUGAGAUACGGCCCAGACUCCUACGGGAGGCAGCAGUGGGGAAUAUUGCACAAUGGGCGCAAGCCUGAUGCAGCGACGCCGCGUGCGGGAUGACGGCCUUCGGGUUGUAAACCGCUUUUGACUGGGAGCAAGCCCUUCGGGGUGAGUGUACCUUUCGAAUAAGCACCGGCUAACUACGUGCCAGCAGCCGCGGUAAUACGUAGGGUGCAAGCGUUAUCCGGAAUUAUUGGGCGUAAAGGGCUCGUAGGCGGUUCGUCGCGUCCGGUGUGAAAGUCCAUCGCUUAACGGUGGAUCCGCGCCGGGUACGGGCGGGCUUGAGUGCGGUAGGGGAGACUGGAAUUCCCGGUGUAACGGUGGAAUGUGUAGAUAUCGGAAA